UACGAAGGGGGCUAGCGUUGCUCGGAAUCACUGGGCGUAAAGCGCACGUAGGCGGCUUUCUAAGUCAGGGGUGAAAUCCUGGAGCUCAACUCCAGAACUGCCUUUGAUACUGGAGAGCUUGAGUCCGGGAGAGGUGAGUGGAACUCCGAGUGUAGAGGUGAAAUUCGUAGAUAUUCGGAAGAACACCAGUGGCGAAGGCGGCUCACUGGCCCGGUACUGACGCUGAGAUACGAAAGCGUGGGGAGCAAACAGG
rnacentral:rRNA from 1 species